rnacentral:rRNA from 1 species
UACGUAGGGGGCUAGCGUUGUCCGGAAUCAUUGGGCGUAAAGAGCGUGUAGGCGGUCCGGUAAGUCCGCUGUGAAAGUCGGGGGCUCAACCCUCGAAUGCCGGUGGAUACUGUCGGGCUAGAGGGCGGAAGAGGCGAGUGGAAUUCCUGGUGUAGCGGUGAAAUGCGCAGAUAUCAGGAGGAACACCUAUUGCGAAGGCAGCUCGCUGGGACGUUACUGACACUGAGGCGCGAAAGCGUGGGGAGCGAACAGG